rnacentral:rRNA from 1 species
AGCGAACGCUGGCGGCAGGCCUAACACAUGCAAGUCGAACGAACUCUUCGGAGUUAGUGGCGGACGGGUGAGUAACACGUGGGAACGUGCCUUUUGGUUCGGAGUAACUCAGGGAAACUUGUGCUAAUACCGAAUGUGCCCUUCGGGGGAAAGAUUUAUCGCCAUUAGAGCGGCCCGCGUCUGAUUAGCUAGUUGGUGAGGUAACGGCUCACCAAGGCGACGAUCAGUAGCUGGUCUGAGAGGAUGACCAGCCACACUGGGACUGAGACACGGCCCAGACUCCUACGGGAGGCAGCAGUGGGGAAUCUUGCGCAAUGGGCGAAAGCCUGACGCAGCCAUGCCGCGUGAAUGAUGAAGGUCUUAGGAUUGUAAAAUUCUUUCACCGGGGACGAUAAUGACGGUACCCGGAGAAGAAGCCCCGGCUAACUUCGUG